rnacentral:piRNA from 1 species
UGAGUGUUUGGUCCCCCAUAGAGAAAU